UGUUGAUGAUGUGGAUAGUCUUGAAGAAGAGCUUUAAACCUCUCCCAUGCAUCAUAUAAGUUCUCAUCUAGGUUCUAUCUAAAGCACACAAUCUCACUACACAGUCU
rfam:Capsicum annuum cultivar Zunla-1 chromosome 11, whole genome shotgun sequence